rnacentral:rRNA from 1 species
UACGAAGGGGGCUAGCGUUGCUCGGAAUUACUGGGCGUAAAGUGUGCGCAGGCGGCGUUGCAAGUCGAGUGUGAAAUCCCCGAGCUUAACUUGGGAAUUGCGCUCGAAACUACGAUGCUCGAGUAUGGCAGAGGAAGGUGGAAUUCCACGUGUAGCGGUGAAAUGCGUAGAGAUGUGGAGGAACACCGAUGGCGAAGGCAGCCUUCUGGGCCAAUACUGACGCUGAGACGCGAAAGCGUGGGGAGCAAACAGG